CUCUCGUUCGUUAAAAAUAAAUACUACAGAAGUUGGCAAAUUUUGUAGUUUUAGAGAAGUGGAUUCUCUCCAGGAUUAACGUAAAAAAUGUUGAUGUCUGAGGAACUGCUCUUGCUCAACCCGUAAAUAAAGUGGAGAUGUUGACAGUUUGUCUAGCCUCUGCUAAAUGAGCACAAAAAAUAUUUCAUUUCUUGAAGGGCAUCAAUAAUCGGGAGGGAAAGGAAGGAGCUUAACUAUUAACCUUUAUCUGGGCUCGUAAAUGAGUUGAAACGCACGUUUCUGAAGCUUCUUUUAUGCAUUUGCUUUCCUGUUUUCCCUCCCUUUUCUUUCCUUCAGUGGAGAUGGUGAAAGGUAAAUGAAAAUAAUGAUGCUUGCAUUAAUUGGACAAGCAGGCGAUUUUAUGGCUCACCAGUAAAAAAUAAAUGCCACGGGAAAGUUGCUGUUUGCAGUGCAAGCGGUGGGAAAGUGGUCUGGAGGGCGUGGGGCAGGGGGGCGGGGGGCGGCAGGGAAGUGUGGCUAGCUGCUGGUUGCGCCCUUACUUUAGGGGGUUUGGAUUUUGUGUUUCCAGAUCUUCAUCUGAACACGGCGAAGGACAGUUUGUGGAAGGUCUGCAGGCAGAACGGACAGCAAGAUGCUGGGUUCACCCCACCUGGGAGUCACCCUGUAGCAGGCAAACUUCCACCUCCCCCUCUCUGGACAUGUGAAGCAAACGUAGCACUAGCCAAAUCUCCAGCCCUAAAAAUCUCUCAGGAGCACAGUGAGACUAAUUCCUUCUCUGUAACCAUUCAGUAGGUUGUGGUCGCUCCUCAGGAAAGACUAGCAGGAAGGGAAGGGAUGGUGUGCUGCUGCCUGCCUUGCCUGUGACAUCAAAUCUGAGGGACGCCUUCCAAAGAAGGGUCUAGAAAUACCUAGAUGGAUUCAUACAGUGCUUUUCAUUCCCUCCCAUCCUCUGCCAAGCUUUUUCCAUGUAAAAUAACAGAGGACUGUCUCCUCAAAGUCGCUUGGAUGAAUAUAAACUCCUGAAAGUGUCACGUAGCCCUUGGAAUAAUUCCAAAAAAAUCCCAGCUUAUUUGGAAAAACUGUUCCUUGAAAGAAAUGCACAAACAUUGGUCGGGAUCCAAAGCCAUGAAAUCAACAGAGAGACUCAUUACAGAGGGCUUUGGAUCUGACUGACCCACUGGUGACUAUGACCAGAACAACAGUCUGUUACAAUAAAUAAUUUUUGGAUUCAUGUUUUCCUGAUCCCUGCAAAGUUUUGGUAAUAGUAGAAAGAAAAGAACAACCGUCCAGUGAAAUCUCCUUCUCUUUUCCAAGCUCUUUGAAACUACAGUUUAUAACUCUUACUAUUCUAUUUUAAAUGCAGUACCUUUUCCUCUCUCUUUUUACAAAGGUUAGAGAUAUAUGUAACCAUUUAGAAUGAAGAGUGAAUUAGCUGUGCCAAGGACUUGCUUUUAAUUUCCUUUUUUGUUUGGUUUUCUUAACUGCUCAGUUCUUUUGAUUAUCGGAAUCCAUGGGUCAUCCUAGGUAGUUUAAAUACCCAUCAGACAGAAGAAGAUACAGAGAGAACAGCAGGUACUCAAAACAAUUUCAAAUAUAGUCCUAAUUAAUGUUCUAUAUCUUGAGUUCUUCAAUGUGCUUUCGCAUAGCAGAAGCUUGAAGCUGCAUAUUUGCUAGUAUCAUUUGUUUUGCAUUUGUUUUUUUAUCAUUUGGGUUUGGGCUUUUUUACCGUUGACAGCAGACACAGUGUGCUUACUUUGUCAGAAAACCACAGGCUUCACUAGAAGCAAGUUGCUAAAAGCAGUGGAGAGCAAAGCAUUGGUCUAGAGGUUGGAGAAAGGAGAUAAUUACGUCAGGGUAUUAUGACAGAAUAUUUUACCGACAAAAACCAAGAAAAAAAAUCAGAGAAUAUGGGGGGUUUAGAAUAUCACUUAUAAUAUUAUCAAACUCAAGCUUUCAAGAAUUGUAAGUCAGAUCAUGAAGUUGUCUUAAAAAUCACAGGUUAUGAACAUAGUAUUUUGAAUUCUGGGCUUGGUGCUAAUAGAUUUCAGUUUCAGGCUUUUCUUUGUCACCAAGACUAGACACUUCAUUUCUUUCUUUCAUGACAGCUGAGAUUCCCACAAAAUCACAAUUUUUUUAAGUACAAGGCUUUUAAAAAAGCCUAUCUUGUAAGAUUCACAGCUGAGCUCCAAAGAGCUCACAGCACUGGUGGUCUUGCAUGAAGUACAAGCUGAUGGUAGAUAAGCAGGUUUUCCAAAUUUACUCUAGUAAAUAAGUUCUGUUCCUCACCUCCUCUAAUACAGACCAUCUUAACAUCCUUAAAUACUGUGCUCAUAAACACAUAAGGAGCCCCUGCUAUCCUUAACUGUACAGAAUGGUCUCUCCUGUGCCUGCAGUGGCAGAGGGUCUCCAUUUCCGAGGUCAGAAUGGCAGCUCCGGGUGUGUUCUCUUCUCUCCCUUGUGCUGGGAAAGGAGAAAGCAGGGGGCAAGAGGGUGCAAAGUGGCCCUGUCUGUCUCUCUAAUUAGCAAUGUUAAUUAGUUGCCUUUUCCCAGAAGCCAUGCAGAUGGUGCAGGGGUGACAGUGGUAAUAGGUUUUCCCAUUGCCAAGUCUGGAAAUUGAAUAGAUACUCAAAUUUUUCAUGGGCAAUGGUGCAUCUGAGAAAUUGAUGUACUGGCAGAGAAGAAGCACUGGAUGCUCUAGUGGACUUCACUGACUGACCUGCUGGGAUUAAAAGGAUGGCUGUAUCAUUCUGAAGUGUUUCGGGGUGAUGAAUCAAAUUGCACUCUUCCUUUAGACUCACGGUGAAGACAGGAAUGUUCUGGAAACAGGACCACAUUCACAAAUAAGCUCUAAAGGUUUGUAUCUUGGUCCAACCUUUGGGACUCGGGAUAGUAGGAUCUCACAAAUGGGCUCUGCUUGCUCAUUCUGGAGGAAGUGAGAAGACAGAAGAGAAAAUGUGAUCCAUAUUUGUGUCCUUAAUUUUGAAAAGGGUUGACUGUUUCAAGGAGAAAAGAGUUAUAGCUGGGGUUGGGAUAUCUGGGAUGGGAUGAGGUUGUCUUAUUGAGUCCCAGGUGAAGGAGGUUUGGCGGUCCUGAGGAAGACACACAGAGGUGAUCUGAAUGGCUGGGCCAUGCGCUUCUUCAUCCAUCAGUUUUUAUAGCUGGAGCAGGACAGUAGCACAGCCCUGUGCAAAGGGGACAUACUAAUUCCUGAUUUUGCUCAUUAAUAAAUUUUAACAGCUCCUUUUUCUGAGUGCAUGAGACCAAGUGAAGAAAAAGUCUCCAAGAUGACAACUGAUGUAUGCGAAGUAAAAAGCCUCUUAGUCCCUUUUUGACUGAGAAAAUUCAUACUUGGCCCCACUUGUGCAAGUUACUCCCUCUGGCUUGAAAAAAAAAAUUUGAAGUACUGUUCUUUGGUUUGGUUGGUUUUGGCUUGGUUUUUUGGGUUUUUUAAAAAUUUUGGUGGGUGUUUACACUUUUGGCAAGGCCCUUUUAAAGCUGAAUGUCCAGAGUCUACAUGCUGUCAUACACAAAAGUUUGUGGUUUCUUCAAUACCCUGCAUUCCUGAAAAUACAUAAUUAUUCACUUUCUGACUUUGUAAUGGAACAGUAGUGUGUGUGUGUGUAUAUAUAUAUGUGUGUGUGUGUGUGUGUGUGUGCGCACAUAUGUUCACUUACAGUAAAUGUGGAAAUAGGGAAGACCUGAGAAGGAUAAACAGAGUCAAAGUGAAUCUCAGAGGAGAUAAGUGGUGAAAAUGGGUAAACAGAAAACUCCACUUCUGUGGGAAAACAUGGAGGAGCUAAACCACAAACAGGAGAGGAAACAGCCAAAUCUAAACAAGGAAUUCAGCAGCAAGCUGCGGCAAAUGUGAUUCUAAAGAACAGAGUGUUCACAGCAGACAUGCGUCACUGCUGAAGAUGAAGUAUGUGAGCCCGGCUUUCCUGCUUCCCCAUCCCCAGUACCUCCACGGAAAGCUCAGCCUCUCCUGUCCACCUUAUUUGUUCAGUAGUGGACUUCAUACGAUUGAUUCAGUUCUCAUUAAACUGAUUUACUGGGCUCACUGGCUCUGCUCAGCUUCAGUUUAUUCCUACUUUGUUUAAAAUUCGGGAAGUGCUGGGGGAGGGGACAGGACACUAAUGGCUGUUCUCGUGUAAGUGGAGUGGUAGCUGAUUUAUUGCAAAGGUUAUAAAGGAAAAGUAUUAAGUGUGUUCCAUUCUACUUGGCAAAGCCAUCCUGCACAAUGUCCAACAAAACCCUGAGAGCACUGGUUUGUAACGAAAAAAAAAGGGAAAAAAAUAAAAAAGGGAGGAGGGGGGUGUGUGUGUGUGGAAGGGGGAUGCUCCACCAAGAUGUGCUCUUCUUCUUUUGAGCACUAAUUAAGACUGUAAAUCACGAGCAACAUGAAACAACUGUAUUUGAUGGAACAUGGACAGUUCUGGAGUUCUGCUGUGCUUGCGCCAUCAGUUUGAAUACCUACACUGAAACACUAAUGGGAGAGCAAACUUCAAAGAGAAAUUCUGGCAUGAAGAAGCAGUCUGCAGGAUCAUUACAUGGAUAAAGUUGUAAAAUAGACUUCUCCGUGCAAACUGGGAAGGAGGUGGAAUGAAAGUUUGAAAGGUUUAUAGGAACUUAGGCUUGUUUUCCUUUCGUGCACAAAGUCAGUCCCACAUUAAUUUGGUCUCAUAUUGAAAUAGGCUUGUAUAGUAGUGUUUUGAAUAAAAAGGGGGAUAAGAGGGUGACAGCAGAAAAAAAAUUGUACUUGAAUAAUGAAAAACUCUGUUAAUAAUCUUUAAAGCUAUUUUUCCUUUUCUAAUUAAUAGUUGAGGGAGUUCUUUUGUCACAUCAUAAGUAGUGGUGGUCACAUUCCCCAUGUUUAUAGAAUUUAAAACCUAAAUUUGUUACAAUCACAUAGUAAUCUUCAGCAGAACAUCAGUAAUAGAAAUUCACCCAGUAAUUCCUGCACAGGUGUCAUGUCCUAAAUGAAUGGGCUGAAGCUUAUUUUUAGGACGCCAUUGAAUCUUGUUUUAAAGGCAUUAAGUAAUGCAGACAACCCCCUGUGUCAGGUAGUUCACUUCAUUAUUUAUUUAAAAUAAAAUUUAAUCUUUAAAAUUUAUUUCUUUUUGACUUCAUCUAGUUACAGUUUCUUGCUAAUGUGUCUGUACUGGGCUGCAGUGGAGCUGCUCUAGUGUAGAUGAGAUGAUUUUCACCCAUUGUGGAAUAUAGUCCAUUUGUUCCUUAUUUUCCUUUAGUGUAAAGGACUGGAUGCAAGGAACAUUUUGAUAAAAAAUGGUCUAUUCUUAAUAGUUAAGUCACAAGCAACUU
ensembl:lncRNA